UACAGAGGUCUCAAGCGUUGUUCGGAUUCAUUGGGCGUAAAGGGUGCGUAGGCGGCGCGGUAAGUCGGGUGUGAAAUCUCGGGGCUUAACUCCGAAACUGCAUUCGAUACUGCCGUGCUUGAGGACUGGAGAGGAGACUGGAAUUUACUGUGUAGCGGUGAAAUGCGUAGAUAUCGUAAGGAAGACCAGUGGCGAAGGCGGGUCUCUGGACAGUUCCUGACGCUGAGGCACGAAGGCCAGGGGAGCAAACGGG
rnacentral:rRNA from 1 species